rnacentral:rRNA from 1 species
GCCGCGUGAGUGAUGAAGGUUUUCGGAUUGUAAAACUCUGUUGUUAGGGAAGAACAAGUACAAUAGUAACUGAUUGUACCUUGACGGUACCUAACCAGAAAGCCCCGGCUAACUACGUGCCAGCAGCCGCGGUAAUACGUAGGGGGCAAGCGUUGUCCGGAAUUAUUGGGCGUAAAGCGCGCGCAGGCGGUCCUUUAAGUCUGAUGUGAAAGCCCACGGCUUAACCGUGGAGGGUCAUUGGAAACUGGAGGACUUGAGUGCAGAAGAGGAGAGUGGAAUUCCACGUGUAGCGGUGAAAUGCGUAGAGAUGUGGAGGAACACCAGUGGCGAAGGCGACUCUCUGGUCUGUAACUGACGCUGAGGCGCGAAAGCGUGGGGAGCGAACAGGAUUAGAUACCCUGGUAGUCCACGCCGUAAACGAUGAGUGCUAGGUGUUAGGGGGUUUCCGCCCCUUAGUGCUGAAGUUAACGCAUUAAGCACUCCGCCUGGGGAGUACGGCCGCAAGGCUGAAACUCAAAAGAAUUGACGGGGGCCCGCACAAGCGGUGGAGCAUGUGGNUUUAAUUCGAAGCA